rnacentral:rRNA from 1 species
AUUGAACGCUGGCGGCAGGCCUAACACAUGCAAGUCGAGCGGGGUUUUCGGACCUAGCGGCGGACGGGUGAGUAAUGCGUAGGAAGCUGCCCGAUAGAGGGGGAUACCAGUUGGAAACGACUGUUAAUACCGCAUAAUGUCUACGGACCAAAGUGUGGGACCUUCGGGCCACAUGCUAUCGGAUGCGCCUACGUGGGAUUAGCUAGUUGGUGAGGUAAUGGCUCACAAAGGCGACGAUCUCUAGCUGGUUUGAGAGGAUGAUCAGCCACACUGGAACUGAGACACGGUCCAGACUCCUACGGGAGGCAGCAGUGGGGAAUAUUGGACAAUGGGCGCAAGCCUGAUCCAGCCAUGCCGCGUGUGUGAAGAAGGCCUUCGGGUUGUAAAGCACUUUCAGCGAGGAGGAAGGGUGGUGUGUUAAUAGCACAUCAUUUUGACGUUACUCGCAGAAGAAGCACCGGCUAACUCUGUGCCAGCAGCCGCGGUAACAC